UGAGGAAUAUUGGACAAUGGGCGCAAGCCUGAUCCAGCAAUGCCGCGUGCAGGAUGAAGGCCUUCGGGUUGUAAACUGCUUUUGUACGGAGCGAAAAGGUCUGCCCUAAUACGGUGGGCUCAUGACGGUACCGUAAGAAUAAGCACCGGCUAACUACGUGCCAGCAGCCGCGGUAAUACGUAGGGUGCGAGCGUUAAUCGGAAUUACUGGGCGUAAAGCGUGCGCAGGCGGUUAUAUAAGACAGAUGUGAAAUCCCCGGGCUCAACCUGGGACCUGCAUUUGUGACUGUAUAGCUAGAGUACGGUAGAGGGGGAUGGAAUUCCGCGUGUAGCAGUGAAAUGCGUAGAUAUGCGGAGGAACACCGAUGGCGAAGGCAAUCCCCUGGACCUGUACUGACGCUCAUGCACGAGAGCGUGGGGAACAAACA
rnacentral:rRNA from 1 species